rnacentral:rRNA from 1 species
UACGUAGGGUGCAAGCGUUAAUCGGAAUUACUGGGCGUAAAGCGUGCGCAGGCGGUUGUGCAAGACCGAUGUGAAAUCCCCGGGCUUAACCUGGGAAUGGCAAUGGAUACUGGCAGGCUAGAGUGCGGUAGAGGGUAGUGGAAUUCCCGGUGUAGCGGUGAAAUGCGUAGAGAUCGGGAGGAAUACCAGUGGCGAAGGCGGCCGGCUGGGCCACGACCGACACUGAGGUGCGAAAGCGUGGGGAGCGAACCGG